rnacentral:lncRNA from 1 species
UGCAGUGGUCUCAUGAAAUAAGGAAACGUAUUCGUGCUAGGAACACACGCGAAUUUCGGACGAAUGAAUCUUGCUUGUAUUUUGUAGAUAUAAUAAUACUUUGUUUCAUAAUAAACAAUUUGUCAAGUGUCAUUUAUUUACUGGUAAUAGUGCAUGUUUCAGUCGGGCAAAUCUUGAUUAAUAUUUGAUACGCCGAUUUUUGCAUAUUUCAGACACAUCCAGAAACAUCCUCCCGAAUUUAAAGAUUAAUAUCUCCGUGAAUUUUUAAGUGAAAUACAACUGUAAUAUAUCAAAGUCUAAGUUAG